AGAUGGAUAUUCUAUUAUAACUGUGGAUAUGACUGAUUUUAGCAAACCUCGACUGGGAGAUGUUGUCAUUUACAAGUUUUAAAAAUUUAAAAGCAGUAAAACUUAAGUCCUAACCCACAGUGUGAUGGUAUCUGGAGAUGGGGCUUCUAUGAUGGGAUUAGUGUCUGUGUAAGAGACAACUAAAAGCUUGCUUCUUCUCUCCCCACAUGAGAAGAAACAGUAAGAAGGUGGCAAGCCACGAAGAGCUUUCAUCAGGGAACUGAAGUGAACUGAAUUGGCAUGCCCUUGAUUGUGGAUUUCCUAGCCUCCAGAACUAUACUUAUUGGAACAUAUGUGCCAGGUACUGUGUUGGGCCUUGGGGAAAUGAACAUGGAAUAAAGGCUUGAAGUGCUGCUGGUCUGUCAGAGAUCUAGCAUCUAAACAGAAGCUACCUGACCGCAGAAGUCAGCCCCAAAGGAAAAUGAGAAAUAAAAACAUAAAUUUGAUCUUCAGUGAAACUAGCAGAUAUCUACAACCUGAGUCACAAAAUACAAGGACAGAAAAUGAACAGAGGAGCAAUGACUGACUCAGCAGUGGAGAGAUGGGAGACACCCGGCACAGAGGCAACAUGGAUGAGAAACAAGCCAACAGAGCAGGCAAAGUCCAGGACCCUGAGGCACCAGAUGCUACAGAAAGUAUGAAUGGAGAAAAUGGGGAGAUAGGUUGAAAAUUUGCCAAGUGCAGCUAGAUCUCUCUGGCUUUUACUCUCAUACUUAGAGGAGAUGAGAUAUUUAUUAUUUGGAGAAAAUGAACCAGUGAGGCUCAGGGACUUUGGAAACCAUACAUAGUGAGGAUAGAGGGGAGGCCUGGAACUAAAAUCUGAGGGAAAACUCCCUGCUCCCUUCUUCCAUCUAGCUUCCAGAACUCUAGCAGCUAGACUUAUACCUCCUAAUAGGAGAUUGGAAGAUAUUUUGCUGGAGAAAUACAAUGGCCAAAGAGAAGAGAUCUAUAGAUGCUGAUUACUAGAAAUCCUCCAAUAAAAAGCUGGAGGGCCAACCAAGCAUUCUGUGAAGCUCAUCCAUUCAUUAGCCCUGCCUACUUAUGCACUGCUUUCAGGCAGCAUUAUUGCACAUCAUGUGUUAGAAGAAAGCUUCUAAUAUAAACAGUGACUAAAACAAAGAACUCAGAAAACGGUAACCAUGAAAGAAGCAAGAAAUAAAACAGAUUUCUUCCAAGUUAAGAGGA